GUCCCUGUAGCGCAAUGGAUAGAACGUUGGACUUCUAAUCCAAAGGUCGUGGGUUCGAAUCCUACCUGGGAUG